rfam:Schistosoma margrebowiei strain Zambia genome assembly, scaffold: SMRZ_contig0000538
AAUUUUCUGAGUUCGUGCUGAGAUUUCGUCAGACACCAACCCAUUAGGGCUGAUCAGACUUCCAAGAUAAGUGAAGUU